UUGAUGGGUAAAAAAAUACAACAACCAAACAGGAAAACCAAAUUAAUGAUAAAUAAACUGCAUAAUGCUAACCUCCAAAGUCACAGCAAAUUCAUCAAGCAAAACAAAAAGUCAUCUUUCCAAUACUAAUAAACCAGAAAUACAUCAGCCAAAUGGUUGAUUGCGAAUUUAAUACAAAGGAUACUGGCUUUAAUGUGGUAAUUUACAAAAAAAAAAAAAAAUAUCACAGCAGUUUGCUAUGCAUGUCCGCUUUCUUCAACCCAAAUUCCCUAGCUUUACUAAGUUGCUCAGCAUCCACUCUCAAUCUUUGAAAAGCGAUACUCGAUAUCCCUUGCUGUGUUUGCCACCUCAGUGAGUCCAAUUUUGUCUUUUGCUUCUCAAUCCCCUUAGAAAUCUCAGCCAUCUCGUCAUAACGCCGGAAGUGUGAGGGAGAGAGAAGCUGGUGAGGCAAGCCGGAAGCGUGAGGGAGCUUCUGGAAGCGUGAGGGAGAGAGAAGCUGGUGAGGCACGCCGGAAGCCGUGAGGGAGAGAGGAAAGUGAGGACUGGAGAUAACUUGAUAAGAUUUCCCUCUGCACUAAGCGAUAAAUGAGUCUUUCUUUAUUCAUUUUUUAUUCAUUCUUUUCUUAUUUUAAUGUCUUUCUUUAUUCAUUUUUUAUUCAUUUUUUUCUUAUUUUAAUGUUUUAUGUAGUGAGAGGAACGAGAAGCAAAACGGCAGGAGAGAAUGCGUUUCUCUCGUCAUUCUCUCGUUCCUCUCGCUCCUUAGCAUUUUCCUUGAAAAAAUAAUUAAGGUAAGAAAAUAAGUAGUUAUUUGGUUCAGCACUUACCAGCAAGUUUUCCGAAACUGAGAACAUAUUCUGGAGUUGUGGCCGUAAAAUCGGAACAAAAUUUCUCGCCAGUUCCUCCUUAAUUUCUAGUCAACUAACUUAACUACCCGUUAGUUCUUACAACAUGAAAGCUUCUUUGAGAAGCCUCUUCUCUAUCAACCCCGAAACAAGUUUCAAUUCUUACAUUGAGACGUGUCUCUGUCUCUUAAAAGACAUCACAAGUCAAAACUUGGUCAUUCAAGGACGUGCCCUCCAUGGCCAUCUAAUUAAAACAGGGAUUCAUAAGGAGAGAUAUUUAACCACUAGGCUUCUG
rnacentral:lncRNA from 1 species